AGCAGUAUUGAACUGAAGAGUUUGAUCAUGGCUCAGAUUGAACGCUGGCGGCAGGCCUAACACAUGCAAGUCGAGCGGAUGAAGGGAGCUUGCUCCUGGAUUCAGCGGCGGACGGGUGAGUAAUGCCUAGGAAUCUGCCUGGUAGUGGGGGAUAACGUCCGGAAACGGGCGCUAAUACCGCAUACGU
rnacentral:rRNA from 1 species